rnacentral:rRNA from 1 species
CUCAAAGGAAUUGACGGGGGCCCGCACAAGCGGUGGAGCAUGUGGUUUAAUUCGAAGCAACGCGAAGAACCUUACCAGGCCUUGACAUGCAGAGAACUUUCCAGAGAUGGAUUGGUGCCUUCGGGAACUCUGACACAGGUGCUGCAUGGUUGUCGUCAGCUCGUGCCGUGAGGUGUCGGGUUAAGUCCCAUAACGAGCGCAACCCCUAUCAUUAGUUGCCAUCAGGUCAAGCUGGGGACUCUAAUGAAACUGCCUACGCAAGUAGUGAGGAAGGUGGGGAUGACGUCAAAUCAGCACGGCCCUUACGUCCAGGGCUACACACGUGCUACAAUGGCCGAUACAGAGGGCAGCUACCUGGCGACAGGAUGCAAAUCUCCAAAGUCGGUCUCAGUUCGGAUCGGAGUCUGCAACCCGACUCCGUGAAGUUGGAUUCGCUAGUAAUCGCGCAUCAGCCAUGGCGCGGUGAAUACGUUCCCGGGCCUU